rnacentral:rRNA from 1 species
CGGGACGGGUGAGUAACGCGUGGGUAACCUGCCUUGUACAGGGGGAUAACAGUUGGAAACGGCUGCUAAUACCGCAUAAGCGCACGGCAUCGCAUGAUGCAGUGUGAAAAACUCCGGCGGUAUAAGAUGGACCCGCGUUGGAUUAGCUAGUUGGUGAGGUAACGGCCCACCAAGGCGACGAUCAGUAGCCGACCUGAGAGGGUGACCGGCCACAUUGGGACUGAGACACGGCCCAA